rnacentral:misc_RNA from 1 species
GAUGAAGAACGCAGCGAAAUGCGAUAAGUAAUGUGAAUUGCAGAAUUCAGUGAAUCAUCGAAUCUUUGAACGCACAUUGCGCCCGUCAGUAUUCUGGCGGGCAUGCCUGUUCGAGCGUCAUUACGCCCCUCAAGUCCCCUGUGGACUUGGUGUUGGGGAUCGGCGAGGCUGGUUUUCCAGCACAGCCGUCCCUUAAAUUAAUUGGCGGUCUCGCCGUGGCCCUCCUCUGCGCAGUAGUAAAACACUCGCAACGGGAGCCCGGCGCGGUCCACUGCCGUAAAACCCCCCAACUUUUUAUAGUUGACCUCGAAUCAGGUAGGACUACCCGCUGAACUUAAGCAUAUCAAUAAGCGGAGGA